AUGGCGAGUGGAAGGCGAGUCCAGGGUGAGGAGGAACAGAGAGCAGAGGAUCAGAGUUCGCCAUGGCGAGCUAAGGCGACCAAAAACUCCUCAGAGCUGACAUGGCAGAAACCCACUGAAUUGUUUGUUUAUUAGACAAUUGCGAGACGAAGGCGGUGUAAGAAGGAACCUAAAUUAGACAACAAAAAUGAAGACAUUAUCAGUGACUUGACUGAUUCUGUUCUCCUCCACCUACUCUCCUUUCUGAACGCAAAACAGGCCGUUCAAACCUGCAUUUUGUCCAAAAGAUGGAUCAUUCUCUGGAGGAGUCUUCCCACUCUUACACUAAGUUCUUCAUACUUUAGGUCCGGAAAAAAAGUUUGAUGAAUUUGUGUCUCAGAUUCUCUCUCUUCGUGAUGGCUCAACCGCCAUCCACACUCUUGAUUUGUAUCGUCGUCAGUACAUGAAGCCUACCCUACUCCCAAGGAUCAUAGAAUACACUGUUUCACACAAUGUCCAACACUUAAUACUUGAUUACACUUGUCAUAUUGAAGACUUUCCUUCUUGCAUCUUUUCAUGUCGCACUUUAACGUCUCUUAAUCUUUCUGGUUUCAUAUACAAUGCAAUUUUAAGUCAUAAACCGAUAUUUCGAAAUUCUCUGAAUUUGCCAGCAUUAACCAACUUGUCUCUAAAGUACUUUGGCUUUUGUCGAGGUGAUGAUGGUUGUGUCGAGCCCUUUUCCACGUUUAAAAUGUUGAACAGUUUGGUCAUUGACUGUUGUAUAGUUCUCGACGCACAAAAACUUUGCAUAUCAAGUGCCAAACUUGUCAAUUUAAGUAUACUUAUGUGGGAUUCUGUUCCUGAGACCUAUGUUGGAAUCUAUUUUGGAAUUGAGCUAUAUGCUCCAAGUCUUCAUACCUUUGCUUUUACGGGUCGCUAUACUCCAAAACUUUUUGGGAGCAAGAGUGUUCUCUCUUCUAUCAAACAUGUAAGUAUUGAUUUAAGAUGUUAUUUGAACUUGGAGUCGCGGGAGACUUCAUCAAUUCUACUCAAUUGGCUGGUUGAGCUUGCUAAUAUCGAAUCAUUGAGUUUCUGUUCAAAUACUAUCAAGGUUCUUUCUUUAGUUCCUGAUUUAUUGAAGGUUGAGUUCCAUUCCUUGUGUACCUUGAAGUCACUGAAAAUAAAAACGGACCGAACUUCAUCUAUAGAUGACGACAUGGUGGGAUUUUUGAUUCAAAACUCACCCUCGGCAAAAGUUGACAUCAUAGGUUUAUAAAGGAAGAAUUUGGGAGCUCAAUAGGAACAGAGUUGCUGCCCUUAAUUAUUAGAGAUUAAGAUGGAAUUCCAAUCAAAGAGAUGUAUUUGAUUGGUAUUGUGGCUGUAGUAGUGGGAUGGGAAUAAUUAUUUUUAGAGUAAACCCUCAUUUGGGUCCCUGAAAGUGCACCUCGCUAUCAGCCACAUCCCUGGAUCAAUUAAACAAAUCAAAAACUCGCUCAAUGUAUGUUCCGUUAGUCAAAUGCAUCCAAAACGUUAACUUGAACGUUAAGUGUGAUUGGAGAGGGACCUGAAUGAAUGUAAUCCCUCCAUCUUCUGAAAAAAAUUAACAAGUUCAUAUCUUCAUCUUCCUUCAUACCCUCCAUCUCAAAACAUUCCAAAAGACAAAAAUAAGUUCUUUACAAUCAUUAUCUCUGCUCUAUCAACCAUCAAGUCUGUUAUCUCUCAAUUAUCGGUUUAAUAAUUGUUCUCUAUUCUUUUACAGGAAACAAAUGCCUAAACUUGGAUAAUAACACACCUCCCUACAUGCAACAGGUUGCAUGAAGAAGUGAGCAAAAUCUAAAACGUCAUCGGGGGUAUUGAAGUCAUUUUAAGCUGUGGCUGAAUGAAAGAAAGAAAGAAAGUAAGAAAAUUGAAUUGAAUUAAAUUGAGCAACAAGAAGAAUAGAAUUAGUAAAAGUACGUACAUGGUGAUUUUGCGAAGGAAGAGUCAAUUAAGGGCAUAAGAGAGUCUUGUGUAAUUGUUGGAGGCAAGUGCCGAAUCACCACCUUCGUACUAUCCCACAUCACCCUACUUCGAUUCAAUUCAAUUAUUGGAUUGGAUCACAUCUCCGCUGCUUCUCAAUUUCGAUGGAAUCAUUCAAUCAGAAAUUAUAAAUAAAUUAAAUUGAAAUUGUGUGCCCUAAUUUCACCCAACUUGCCGUAACCACGACAGGAGAGGAACAAGAGUGUUGUUUCUAUUUUGAGCAUGAACAAGAGGAAAUUUAAGAUUUUUUAUUUUUAUUAUGGUUUUGGGUUGUUGGAUUAUGGAUUUUGAAUUGAUGAUGAAGAAGAAGAUAAAGGGGGAAAUCAAUUUUGAAUUUUGAUUUUGAAUUGCAUAGGUAUUGGUGAGCAUGAGUUCAUGAGUAGUGUUGGAGAAGAUGAAGGAAUUGAGGGCAUUGAAGAAGAUUGAAGAAGAUGAAGGCAGAAACAUGAUUGUUGUCAUUUUGGUCCCUCGUCUAUGAGUAUAACGGACACAUCAGCACAUUUAACACCAAGUUAACGUUUUGGAUGCAUUUGACUAACAAAACAGACAUUGGGGGAGUUUUUGGUUCGUUUAAUUGAUCCAUGGAUCUGGCUGAUAGCGAGAUGCACUUUCAGGGACCCAAAUGAGGGUUUACUCUUAUUUUUAUGUCAAUGUAUGUUGUAUGCAUAAUCCUAGCAUAUCUUAUACUUUGAUUAUUGCUUAUCAAUACAAUUCUGCUUAUCUAUAUAAUCCAUUUAUUUCCUUAAAUCCUUGCAGCAAUAUGACUA